AGCGAACGCUGGCGGCAGGCUUAACACAUGCAAGUCGAACGGGCGUAGCAAUACGUCAGUGGCAGACGGGUGAGUAACGCGUGGGAACGUACCUUUUGGUUCGGAACAACACAGGGAAACUUGUGCUAAUACCGGAUAAGCCCUUACGGGGAAAGAUUUAUCGCCGAAAGAUCGGCCCGCGUCUGAUUAGCUAGUUGGUGAGGUAAUGGCUCACCAAGGCGACGAUCAGUAGCUGGUCUGAGAGGAUGAUCAGCCACAUUGGGACUGAGACAUGGCCCAAACUCCUACGGGAGGCAGCAGUGGGGAAUAUUGGACAAUGGGGGCAACCCUGAUCCAGCCAUGCCGCGUGAGUGAUGAAGGCCCUAGGGUUGUAAAGCUCUUUUGUGCGGGAAGAUAAUGACGGUACCGCAAGAAUAAGCCCCGGCUAACUUCGUG
rnacentral:rRNA from 1 species